rnacentral:SRP_RNA from 1 species
CCGCCGUGUAACAGACGGUUGUGAACCUCGUCAGGCCUGGAAGGGAGCAGCGAUAAGCAAUUUGGUCUGUGUCGCGGAUCGAU